GUGGGUUUGUCCUUCGAGUCCGUGGUCUGUCAUACAGCUCAAAGGUGACUCACAUUUCUGUAAUGGAAGUCAC
rnacentral:miRNA from 1 species